AUUGAACGCUGGCGGCAGACCUAACACAUGCAAGUCGAACGAGUGGCGGACGGGUGAGUAAUGUCUGGGAAACUGCCUGAUGGAGGGGGAUAACUACCGGAAACGGUAGCUAAUACCGCAUCCCAUCGGAUGUGCCCAGUUGGGAUUAGCUAGUAGGUGGGGUAACGGCUCACCUCGGCGACGAUCCCUAGCUGGUCUGAGAGGAUGACCAGCAACACUGGAACGUGGACACGGACCAGACUCGUACGGGAGGCAGGGGUGGGGAAUAUUGCACAAUGGGCGCGAGGCUGAUGCAGCCAUGCCGGGUGUAUGAAGAGGGCCUUCGUGUUGUAAAGGACUUUCAGCGGGGAGGCGUUACCCGAAGAAGAAGCACCGGCUAACUCCGUGCCAGCAGCCGCGGUAAUUC
rnacentral:rRNA from 1 species